rnacentral:rRNA from 1 species
UACGAAGGGUGCAAACGUUGCUCGGAAUUAUUGGGCGUAAAGCGCACGUAGGCGGCUUUGCAAGUCGGAUGUGAAAUCCCUCGGCUUAACCAAGGAAGUGCAUCCGAAACUGCAGAGCUUGAGUACUUAAGAGGAUCGCGGAAUUCCCGGUGUAGAGGUGAAAUGCGUAGAGAUGUGGAGGAACACCGAUGGCGAAGGCAGCCCCCUGGGUCAAGAUUGACGCUCAUGCACGAAAGCGUGGGGAGCGAACAGG